UUGCGAAACAGUCCUUCUAUUUUUUCCGACCAAUCCCGCGGUCCUCCGCUCCCGACAUAGAACUCCGUCGCUCACCAUUCUUGCUCGCCCGCUCGCCGUCUUGGCUCUCCGACGCCGCCCCCCACCGCCUUCCUCCCUCCCCCGCCCCACGCCGCCUUCCUCCCCCGAACCACGCUGCGAUGCUGCCGGCUCGUCCCCCUCCUCGUUCCCCACCGUCUCAAGCUUCAAUUUUUGCCACAUCGCCGGUGGUUGAUCUGCCGGCAGAAUUGCGGGCGGCGGCCUGGAGCGGCAGUACGCAAGCUCUGACUCCAUACCGAGCCAGCCGGCACACCCGCCAAGGAGCUCCGCCAGCCGCUGCCCUAGCGCCCGCGGCCGUCAAUGCGUGGUCGGGCGCCGCGUCGAUGUUGCCGCUGCUCGGCGCCGCCGUCGCCGACUCGUGGCUCGGCCGGUACCGCACCAUCGUCGCCUCCUUCGUUAUCUACAUCACGUGGCACAAAGGCGAGCUACCUUGGCGUGCAGAAGAGGCCCCUGUCCCUUGCCUUGUGCCCGGCGACCAACAACUGCGUGUCGACGUCCGAGAGGAUAAGCAAUUCCAAUCACUACGCUCCCCCAUGGGACGCACGGAAUUGCUCCUUUCCCUUUCUCUGCUUCUUUUCCUUUCUUUGCUUGGAGGGCGCUGCUGCUCUUCUUUCUCUUUCUCUGCUUCGAAGGUGGUGGUGGUGCUGCUACUGCUUGUAGAGUACUGCUGCUUGGAGGAUGUUGCUGGUCUUCUUUCCCUUUCUUUGCUUGGAGGGCGCUGCUGCUCUUCUUUCUCUUUCUCUGCUUCGAAGGUGGUGGUGGUGCUGCUACUGCUUGUAGAGUACUGCUGCUUGGAGGAUGUUGCUGGUCUUCUUUCCCUUUCUCUGCUUGGAAGGUGCUGCUGCUCCUCUUUCUCUUUCUCUGCUUCAAAUGUAGAAAUGUCAGUUCAGUGUGUAAUAUGAAUCUUUUUUGCCUUUAUAAAUUGCAGAAGAAGAAAGGUAAAUUUCAGCAUUCUAGCUUUCUUGCUGGGGGAGCUACAUCUGCUACUAGGAAACUGGUUGCUCAAAAUGGGACUCUGAAGGCUAUUUGGCCUCACAGUGGCCACUAUCGCCCCACAGAGGAGAACUUCCAGGAGUUUAAAAGCUUCCUCAAUGACAACUUGGUUGAUCUCACUGAUGCACCUGAAGAAACUGGCUCUCUUCAGACAACUCAAGUCAUUCAAACAACAUCUACAGAGACAGAAAAACGUGAGGAACCAGUGGUGGCGCGCGAGAAGAUCCUUCAGAGGAGAUGGUAGUAGCAGCUGCACCCCUGUGGUAGCAUCAGCAUCUACAGAAGAACCAGUGGUAGCAUCAACAUCAACAUCAACAUCUACAGAUCGUUCAGAGGAUCAACAUCUAUAGAAGAACCUGUGGUAGCAGCUGCACCCCUGUGGCCACGAACCUUGCCGUGGAGAUGCAGGGACACCUUCCCACGCUACAGCAAGGAGGAGAGGAAGAUGGAGCCGCGGCGGAAGAUGGAGCUGCGGCGCCUGAGCCUGGCAGCGGCGGAAGAUGGAAUCGCGGCGCCUGAGCCUGGCAGCGGCGGAAGAUGGAGCCACGGCGCCUGAGCCUGGCAGCGGCGGAAGAUGGAGCCACGGCGCCUGAGCCUGGCAGAGGCAGAAGAUGGAGCCGCGGCGCCUGAUCCUGGCAGCGGCGGAGACGGAGCUCGAUGUGCUGGAGUCACCGGCGCUAUCUUGCUGCCGGAGACGGAGCUCGAGGUACUCGGAGGUGCGGAGCUCGAGGUGCUGGGUGCGGGAGCUCGAGGAGCUGACGCCGGCGACGGGGUCCUAGUGCUAGGGAUGGAGCUCGAGGUUCUGGCCGGUGGGAGAUCGAGGUUCUGGCCAGCGGACGGAGGUUCCGCGCGGUGGAUCACGACGAGCGGACGGAGAACUGGGUACUGGAUUGUAAUGAUUUCAAAUUUCGGAAGGGCCUUAUUGUAAAAUUGAUUUGUUCA